rnacentral:tRNA from 1 species
AAAAUUUAGUUAAAAUAUAACAUUAGUUUGUCAAACUAAAAUUAUUUAUAAAAUAAUUUUUU